rnacentral:rRNA from 1 species
UACAUAGGUGCAAGCGUUGUCCGGAAUUAUUGGCGUAAAGAGCUCGUAGGUCGCUUUGUUACGUCGGAUGUGAAAACCCUGAGGCUCAACCUCAGGCCUGCAUUCGAUACGGCAAACUAGAGUUUCGGUAGGGAGACUGGAAUUCCUGGUGUAGCGGUGAAUGCGCAGCAUAUCAGGAGGAACACCAAUGGCGAAGGCAGUCUCUGGCCAAUACUGACACUUAGGAGCGA